rnacentral:rRNA from 1 species
AUUGAACGCUGGCGGCAGGCCUAACACAUGCAAGUCGAACGAGUGGCGGACGGGUGAGUAAUGUCUGGGAAACUGCCUGAUGGAGGGGGAUAACUACUGGAAACGGAUGCUUAAUCCGCAUUCCAUCGGAUUUGCCCAGGUAGGAUGAGCUAGUAGGUGGGGUAACGGCGCACCUGGGCGACGAGCCCUAGCUGGUCUGAGAGGAUGACCAGGAACACUGGAACUGAGACACGGUCCAGACUCCUACGGGAGGCAGCAGUGGGGAAGAUUGGACAAUGGGCGCAAGCCUGAUGCAGCCAUGCCGCGUGUAUGAAGAAGGCCUUCGGGUUGUAAAGUACUUUAAGCGGGGAGGCGUUACCCGCAGAAGAAGCACCGGCUAACUCCGUGCCAGCAGCCGCGGUAAUAC